rnacentral:snoRNA from 1 species
UGAUGACACUCUCUGGAAUUGUUACACUACCAUAAUUAAAGUGAACUGAAUCUUUUUCUAUCUGAUGGGGGGGAAUAAAAUAAUU